rnacentral:lncRNA from 1 species
CUUUUAUAUAAAAACUAAAAAUUGUAAGAAAAUAUAUGAGGUUAUUAUUGAAUGUGCUUGGUUUUAAUAUUUUAAAGAUUUAUUUUCUUGUAGUUAAUUUUAUCAAAAUGGCGGAUAUAAAUGGUGAAGGCGAUCCUUUGGGUGAAGAAAUUGAAGCCAGAGAAAAUGGGGAACAUAACGAAGAGUUACCAGAAGGUGCUGUUGAUGAUACGGGUGAAGAACAAAAUAUUGAAGAUCCCGUAAGUUAUUCUUUAUAAAAUUUGAUAUAAUGGAAUCUGUACCCGUAAUCCUAGUUAGUCUUAUUGUAACAAUUCACUUCACGUGUAAUAGAACAGAACAGCAUGUUCUAAAUUUAUCAUUAUCGAUAAAUUAUUUCAUACAUAUCACGCC